rnacentral:rRNA from 1 species
CCUANGGGUGGCAGCAGUAAGGAAUAUUGGACAAUGCCCGCAAGGGUGAUCCAGCCAUGCCGCGUGCAGGAAGACGGCCCUAUGGGUUGUAAACUGCUUUUACACCGGAGAAAACCUUCCCUCGUGAGGGGAGCUGAUAGUAUGGUGAGAAUAAGCAUCGGCUAACUUCGUGCCAGCAGCCGCGGUAAGACGAAGGAUGCAAGCGUUAUCCGGAUUCAUUGGGUUUAAAGGGAGCGUAGGUGGCCUUAUAAGUCAGUGGUGAAAUCUCUGGGCUUAACCCAGAAAUUGCCAUUGAUACUGUAGGGCUUGAGUACAGUUGCUGUGGGCGGAAUAUGACAUGUAGUGGUGAAAUACAUAGAGAUGUCAUAGAACACCGAUUGCGAAGGCAGCUCACAAAACUGUAACUGACACUGAGGCUCGAAAGUGCGGGGAUCAAACAGGAUUAGAUACCCGUNUANUC